GGAGGCGUCAUGGAACCUCGUGUGGGCUCGUUGGUGCCUCUGACCUGGGGGUAGAGCGUGACCGCAUCCGGCACCGCUGCGCUGCCGGACCCCGCGCUGCACCCAAAAUGCUGCUGAAACGGCCCUAAACCCUGCUGCCUGCACGGCCCCAGCUGCCCCAGAGCUGGGGGGAAGGGACGGUGUGGAGAGCUCUGACCCCCAGUGUCCAACCACCGCUUCCAAGUGCUGAGCCUGAUCCUCAGCUCGUGUGGAGCAGCAUGAGGCUCAACAGGACCAUUUUUGUGGGCUGCCACCAGGUCUUGCUGCCUCUCUGUGUCCCCCCCAGCACGUGGAGACGCCUCAGCAGGAGGAUGCUCAACAGCACUUGUGAGUGCUGGAUUCCUGCUGUCACAUCAGCUGUCACCUUGGUGCUCCACGCUCUCCUCUUGCUGGCCCUUUACAUCAUGCUCAGCAGGAAAAUUGGUAAUUACUGCCUUGGUGGCUUUCCCUGGGGAUUUCUUGUUUUGGGCACUGGGGUGGAGUGGGAAAGGGGCAGGGCAGGGCCGAGCUCGGGUCCAGGCUGGGGGUGAGCUGUGGGUGACGUGGGCAGUGGCAGUGAGGGUUGUACAACCUUGCAUUGCUUCAAAACCAUCUUCUUUUAUUGCUCUUUUAGUAAAGUGCUGGGAAAAUACCAAGAGUCAACUCACAGAGUAUUAAUUCAGAUGAAGCUGCAGUUUGUAGCAGGAAAUUCUUUCACACCAACUGCUGCUGACAUUUGCACAAAGCCCAGCUCCUCUUGGGGUCAAAGGCAUCCCAAACUUACCAGAAGAGGCCUUGGCACCGUGAUUUGUCACUGGGGCCUCUCCUGGUGGGACAACAGGGCACUGGA
rnacentral:lncRNA from 1 species